UUGACGGGGAGCACACAACAGGUGGAGCCUGCGGUUUAAUCGGACUCAACGCCGGGAAACUCACCAGAUAAGACAGCUGAAUGAUAGUCGGGCUGAAGACUCUACUUGACUAGCUGAGAGGAGGUGCAUGGCCGUCGUCAGUUCGUACUGUGAAGCAUCCUGUUAAGUCAGGCAACGAGCGAGACCCACGCCCACAGUUGCCAGCGUACUCUCUGGAGUGACGGGUACACUGUGGGGACCGCCGCUGCUAAAGCGGAGGAAGGAAUGGGCAACGGUAGGUCAGUAUGCCCCGAAUAUCCCGGGCUACACGCGAGCUACAAUGGUUGGUACAAUGGGUAUCUACCCCGAAAGGGGACGGGAAUCUCCUAAAACCAAUCUUAGUUCGGAUUGAGGGCUGCAACUCGCCCUCAUGAAGCUGGAAUCCGUAGUAAUCGCGUUUCAACAGAACGCGGUGAAUACGUCCCUGCUCCUU
rnacentral:rRNA from 1 species